rnacentral:misc_RNA from 1 species
AGUCAUCAACCCUUCCCGUUUUGAAUGCGGGACGGGUUGGAUCUGGGGGCGUGCCGCUGCGAAGCGGCUCCCUUCAAAUGCAUCGGUUGGACCUGUGGGUCGAACUCGACUGGGCGUUGUAACAUCCUCGCUCUACCGAGAGGUUCCCCUUUGGCGUCCUCCCACGACUCGCCUGUGGAGCGGCGGUCAACUUGCUCUGAA